AAACCCCCUCAUUCUCUGGACCUUGUUGCAGCCAGUUUAUAUCCAAACUGGAAUUACAAAAUCAUCCUCAGCCUUUUGCUUUGAUGCUCACUUUGCAGCAUAUGGGGAAGGCUGCCCACUGCUCAUCUCUCUUCUGCUCUAGGACAUCUUUCAACAACAGGCUGUCCUCUGUGGAGUGGCUGAGGCACAAAGGAGGACAAGAACUACACAUCUUCAUCUAAAAUCAGAUGAUACCAUAUGUGAUACUGGAGCUGGCUCUGCCCGUGGGAUGGGCGAAGCCACUCACCACAAACCUGCAACAGCUCCCGAGGAGGCGGUGACACCUCAAAACUGCUCCAAAAUAGCAAUUCAUUGCCAGUGUGCCUUAAACAGCUUUACCAUCACCCUUCUGGCUGUGGGGGGUAGCAACUGCCCACCCCAGGAAGGCAUCAGGGAAGGUGCUGGACCCCCUCAGGCUCCCCAUGCCCCAUGCCAGAGGCCGAUGUUUGUCUCCAUUGCCAUGUUUCCAGAGGAUCCAUCAUCACUUCCCGCGGGCACAACCACCUCCACAAAGCGCAGGCAGCAACUUUUUAUCAGCACAUGACACCAUCCAUGGAUUUUGAAAUGGAAACAAAUAUUUCUGUAUCCAACAGAUG